rnacentral:lncRNA from 1 species
UCGCACUUGAGGGGGAGUGUUGAGAAUGUGUCAAGUGUGAGUAGUGUGGAUAAUAGUCCCACAUUGGUUGAUAAUGUGGAGACUUGAGCAUUUAUAAGUGAGAGAACCCACUCACCUAUCACCUUAAGGUUUUAGGUGAAUAUGUGGUGUGUCUCUCACAAAGGUGUUGCUCUAGAAAAGGAAGUCCCACUAUGUUCAAUGCUCCCUAGUGAAAAA